rnacentral:rRNA from 1 species
AUUGAACGCUGGCGGCAGGCCUAACACAUGCAAGUCGAGCGAGCGGCGGACGGGUGAGUAAUGUAUGGGAAACUGCCUGAUGGAGGGGGAUAACUACUGGAAACGGUAGCUAAUACCGCAUACUAUCAGAUGUGCCCAGAUGGGAUUAGCUAGUAGGUGGGGUAAAGGCUCACCUAGGCGACGAUCCCUAGCGGGGCUGAGAGGAUGAUCAGCCACACGGGGACUGAGACACGGCCCAGACUCCUACGGGAGGCAGCAGUGGGGAAUAUUGCACAAGGGGCGCAAGCCUGAGGCAGCCAUGCCGCGUGUGUGAAGAAGGCCUUAGGGUUGUAAAGUACUUUCAGUCGGGAGGCGUUACCAACAGAAGAAGCACCGGCUAACUCCGUGCCAGCAGCCGCGGUAAUAC